GGAUGCAGGGGCGGACUGGCGGGUCCGCCGGUGCCUAGGUGGUAAGCUUACCGCGAUCUGCUCCUACAACUACAAGCUCUUCGAUAGUGACGUGUCCCAUAUGUCAUUAUUGGGCUGGCUGUUGUAUACUUCAGAGCUAGGAACUGAGACUGACACAGGAGCAGGAGGGGUAAACCUAGACUGACACAGGGACGGCGUGGUGGAUAGUAGAGCCGAAUCGACGAGCAGGGGCAGGGAAGCGGUGGAUCUGGAGGGAGGCGGCAUCGGAGGGAAGCACAGGGAAGCAUUCUUUUAACAUUCCAGGUGCUAAGUAUGAACUGCCCAAGUAUGUUUUGAGUGAACCAACCAACCUGAUCCGAGACAGCUGAACGGCAGCCGGCCGUAGGAAGACCCACCGAUGUAAAAACUGUAAAUGACUGCAGAUGCCGCCAAAUUGAUCCCUUGCUUGUGGUAACUGGAGUGCCUCGAGUAACCUUCACAUUUGCUUUGGCAACUUUCGGCAAUAGGGUUUUCCAGUUCUAGUGUUCAGAUAAAAACUUUUGCGUACCCUCGUCUAUUGUUCUUGGUUCUACUGUAAACAUGAGUCUGCUUAGAAUUCUUUGGAGCGAGAAUGCUGGUGAGAUUGUUCUCGUCCACUAUCAUGAUACAAGCUGGAGCAUACGUUUUAGAAACUUGUCACAUCUCGUGCAACUAAUUAUAUUAUUAUGUGGUCUGGUCUGACAUUUGAAAUGAAAUGCAUGAUAAGGA